UGGGGGGGCGGGGAGGGGGGGGGGGGGGGAGGGGGGGGGGGAGGGGGGGGCGGGAUUUUAUAGGUUUUUGGAACAGCUCAGGACGAACGCUGGCGGCGUGCCUAAUACAUGCAAGUCGAGCGGACAGAUGGGAGCUUGCUCCCUGAUGUUAGCGGCGGACGGGUGAGUAACACGUGGGUAACCUGCCUGUAAGACUGGGAUAACUCCGGGAAACCGGGGCUAAUACCGGAUGGUUGUUUGAACCGCAUGGUUCAAACAUAAAAGGUGGCUUCGGCUACCACUUACAGAUGGACCCGCGGCGCAUUAGCUAGUUGGUGAGGUAACGGCUCACCAAGGCAACGAUGCGUAGCCGACCUGAGAGGGUGAUCGGCCACACUGGGACUGAGACACGGCCCAGACUCCUACGGGAGGCAGCAGUAGGGAAUCUUCCGCAAUGGACGAAAGUCUGACGGAGCAACGCCGCGUGAGUGAUGAAGGUUUUCGGAUCGUAAAGCUCUGUUGUUAGGGAAGAACAAGUACCGUUCGAAUAGGGCGGUACCUUGACGGUACCUAACCAGAAAGCCACGGCUAACUACGUGCCAGCAGCCGCGGUAAUACGUAGGUGGCAAGCGUUGUCCGGAAUUAUUGGGCGUAAAGGGCUCGCAGGCGGUUUCUUAAGUCUGAUGUGAAAGCCCCCGGCUCAACCGGGGAGGGUCAUUGGAAACUGGGGAACUUGAGUGCAGAAGAGGAGAGUGGAAUUCCACGUGUAGCGGUGAAAUGCGUAGAGAUGUGGAGGAACACCAGUGGCGAAGGCGACUCUCUGGUCUGUAACUGACGCUGAUGAGC
rnacentral:rRNA from 1 species